CAAAUUAUAUUAUAUUUUUACAUUCAAAGAAAAAAAUAUGGCUGAUACUCUCAAGUUUAUUGUUACAAUGAUUCUAUUUUUUUUAUUAUUUCUUGUUCCAAUGAAAGCAAGUGGUGGUAAACCAUUUUCUCAUCCAUUUAAAGCAUAUAUUGAUUGUAAAACCAAUGAAGAUUGUCCAGAAAGUGUGAACGAACAUUAUACUAUUAUUUGCAUUGAUUACAAAUGUGAAACAAUUCGAAUUCCUCCAACAUCGGGCCUAAUCUGGUAAAAAACAAAGCAUAUAUUGAUUGUAAAACCAAUGAAGAUUGUCCAGAAAGUGUGAACGAACAUUAUACUAUUAUUUGCAUUGAUUACAAAUGUGAAACAAUUCGAAUUUUUCCGUUAUCGGGCCUAAUCUGGUAAAAAAAGGUACUCCUAAUCUUAGAAAUUAGAAUGAUUUAUUGUGGUAGCAGAAGAGGUGCAAUAUUGCUCCGGAAGAAGAGAUGUGCAAUAAAUAGUGGCGAAUCUAUUAUUUAUAUGUUUAGGAGUUUUUUCUCAUGGAAACUUUCUUAUGUGGCAUUCUCUUGCUUAGUCAACUUUGUUUUCAUCCUACAUGACAUCUUCUCAAGCAUGAGUUGCUUAUGUGUCAUUUGUUUACAACUUCUUGAGUUUUAUGUUCACAAUUUUGGUAGUUUU